rnacentral:rRNA from 1 species
UACGUAGGGUGCAAGCGUUGUCCGGAAUUAUUGGGCGUAAAGAGCUCGUAGGCGGUUUGUCGCAUCUGCUGUGAAAACCCGAGGCUCAACCUCGGGCCUGCAGUGGGUACGGGCAGACUAGAGUGCGGUAGGGGGAGAUUGGAAUUCCUGGUGUAGCGGUGGAAUGCGCAGAUAUCGGGAGGAACACCAAUGGCGAAGGCAGCUCGCUGGGACGUGACUGACGCUGAGACGCGAAAGCGUGGGGAGCGAACAGG